UUAACAUUCAUCCUAAUUCCCAACAAAUUAAACGUGGGUACUGAUUCACAAAUAAGUUUUCAACAAAGGUUUUAAACACCCAAUCAAUUUUGACCUCCAAUUUUCGGAUAAAAAAAACCCAACUUCUUCCACAAUGUUGGACGAUGAAGAAUGAUGGAACACGAAACUCAAAUUUCAAGAGGUGAAUGGGUUUCAAAGACUUCUUUCCAAAGUUGUGUAAGGGUGGUUGUAGUUGAUUUGAUAGGCUUUGGUUCGAAAUUUCAAAGAAGAAGAUGACCGGGCCUGUUCAAAGAACACCAAAUUUUUGGGUCCGUUAAAAGUUUAUUUGAAGAUGGAUCUACUACAAGACAGACUUUGAAUUUACGAUUUACGGGGAAUUAGGAAAAAUUCCCCUCACACUUCAACACUUGUUCCCAAACAUCUUUAUUUUAACACCUUAAUUUCAUUCUUACAAGUUUAAUACUAAGUUUUCAUUAGCACUUCAUAUAAGCAUGAAAUAAACUGGAGUAUAUCAUUCUUUUCAUUUUUGAAGGUAGAUAUACUUUAGAGGAGUGUAGCCAAUUACAUUUGCUUACAAUAUUUUGGGGUUGAUUUGCGAAAAUGGGGGACACAUAUGGGAAAGCAAGAAGAUGGAUUCAGG
rnacentral:lncRNA from 1 species